CCGGCCGAGCGGCUCCCGGGGCGCGCUGCGCUCCGAGGCCGCCGCGGCUCCUGCUCCUGCUCCCGCCGGGCUGCCCCGCAGUACCGCGGUGGUGGGCGGGGCAGCCGCCGGGGAGUCGGGCCUCCCCAGGGCGUCCCGGCCGGCCUGGGCAAGGCUUGUUUACUCCUCUCCGGCCCGGGACGGGAGCGCGGGAAGGACGGCUGCACCGCCGGGAAGCGCUGCCCCGCGCCGGCUGGACCCGCGGCCGCGGCCUCUGCAUCCGGCCGCCGGUACCCAGCCGCGCUCCGCCUUUGCUCUCUCCGGCAUCCUGACCCUGCAGGACCCCCGCUCUACCCGGCCUGCAGUGACCGCAGAGCCGCGGUCCUGGGGCCCUGGGCUGGAUCCACGGGAACCUCCGGGACUUCUUCCCGGAUCCGCAUCGUCUGGACCCGGCCGGGGCUUGCUUGUUGGUAGAAGCCCCUGUAGACUCUGUGUGCCCACGCGACUGAGGGCCACCCCGCGCGUCCUGUGCCGACGUCGGCGAGGGCACCAGCUAGCGAGGGAGAGUGCUCCUCGGCGGAGAUGCGGAGCAGAGUUACAGGUCCCCCCACCCGCGGUGCCAGUUUGGCUGUUACCAAAAAAUAAAAUAAAAUCUUUGAAGCCCAGGAGAA
rnacentral:lncRNA from 1 species